rnacentral:rRNA from 1 species
CCUACGGGAGGCAGCAGUGGGGAAUAUUGGACAAUGGGGGGAACCCUGAUCCAGCCAUGUCGCGUGUGUGAAGAAGGCCCUCGGGUUGUAAAGCACUUUCAGUGAGGAAGAACGCCUGGUGGUUAAUACCCAUCAGGAAAGACAUCACUCACAGAAGAAGCACCGGCUAACUCCGUGCCAGCAGCCGCGGUAAUACGGAGGGUGCGAGCGUUAAUCGGAAUUACUGGGCGUAAAGCGCGCGUAGGUGGCUUGAUAAGCCGGUUGUGAAAGCCCCGGGCUCAACCUGGGAACGGCAUCCGGAACUGUCAAGCUAGAGUGCAGGAGAGGAAGGUAGAAUUCCCGGUGUAGCGGUGAAAUGCGUAGAGAUCGGGAGGAAUACCAGUGGCGAAGGCGGCCUUCUGGACUGACACUGACACUGAGGUGCGAAAGCGUGGGUAGCAAACAGGAUUAGAUACCCCAGUAGUC